GUGAAUCAUCGAAUCUUUGAACGCAAAUUGCGCUUCCUGGUAUCCCGGGGAGUAUGCCUGUUUGAGGGUCAGUAUUAACAAAAAAUCGGUUGGGUUGCGACUUGUGACGUUUCCGGAGGUUGGUCUUAUCUUAACUUUUUUGGUUAAUGGGCUUAAAAUUGACCUUUUUUGCUCAUUUUUAUUCGUACAUAAAUUUUUUUGUAUUCGUCUAUUCUUAAUGCCAAUAUCUUAUUAGAUGCUAUCACACCGUGUUUCUUCGUGUCCAUAAACUUUUCAUGAUUUGACCUCAC
rnacentral:misc_RNA from 1 species